rnacentral:rRNA from 1 species
UACAGAGGUCUCAACCGUUGUUCGGAUUCAUUGGGCGUAAAGGGUGCGUAGGUGGCGCUGUAAGUCGGGUGUGAAAUCCUGAGGCUUAACCUCGGAACUGCAUUCGAUACUGCGGCGCUUGAGGACUGGAGAGGAGACUGGAAUUCAUGGUGUAGCAGUGAAAUGCGUAGAGAUCAUGAGGAAGACCAGUGGCGAAGGCGGGUCUCUGGACAGUUCCUGACACUGAGGCACGAAGGCCAGGGGAGCAAACGGG